rnacentral:lncRNA from 1 species
UUUCGCAGACACUUCUCGCUUUCAUCGGCCUCGUUGCCGUCGCCCUUGGCGGCUACGUGGCUGCCCCAGUGGCUGUUGGCUACGGCCACGGCCACGGGGGCUAUGGCCUUGGAUAUGGUCACGGCUACGGUUAUGGCGGCUAUGGCGGCUACGGAUAUGGUCAUGGUCCCUUCGCCAUCACCACCGUCACCAAGACUGCCCACGUCGCUCCUUCCCGCGCUGUGGCUGUCAGCUACGGACACGGCUAUGGACACGGAUAUGGUCUGGGCUACGGGCACGGCCUUGGAUACGGCUAUGGCGGUCAUGGUUACGGUGGUGUUGUGAAGGCUGUCGGCCUCGGCUAUGGCCACGGAUUUGGCUAUGGUCAUGGCUACGGCUAUCAUGGCUGAAUUAUCAGUUAUUGAAAGGAGAGAGUUUUACUACCGGAAGAACGGGGCCGGCAAAAGUGCCAUGAAGAUGGUUUGUUCGAUGCGUAGGCCCUCCAAAUAAACAAGUCUAUUUAUUUCCAAAAUAAAUUGCAAUGAGCAUUUUUUUUACAAA